rnacentral:rRNA from 1 species
GCUAGAUGUGGGGACUAUUCCAUGUUCUCUGUGUCGCAGCUAACGCAUUAAGCGCCCCGCCUGGGGAGUACGGCCGCAAGGCUAAAACUCAAAGGAAUUGACGGGGGGCCCGCACAAGCGGCGGAGCAUGCGGCUUAAUUCGAUGCAACGCGAAGAACCUUACCUAGACUUGACAUAUACGGAAAACAUGCAGAGAUGUAUGGUCCGAAAGGGCCGUAUACAGGUGGUGCAUGGUUGUCGUCAGCUCGUGUCGUGAGAUGUUGGGUUAAGUCCCGCAACGAGCGCAACCCUCGUUCUAUGUUGCCAGCGGUUCGGCCGGGGACACAUAGGAGACUGCCGUGGUCAACACGGAGGAAGGUGGGGAUGACGUCAAAUCAUCAUGCCCCUUAUGUCUAGGGCUGCACGCGUGCUACAAUGGCUGGUACAAAGGGCUGCGAUACCGCAAGGUGGAGCGAAUCCCAAAAAGCCAGUCUCAGUUCGGAUUGGGGUCUGCAACUCGACCCCAUGAAGUUGGAGUCGCUAGUAAUCGCAGAUCAGCAAUGCUGCGGUGAAUACGUUCCCGGGCCUUGUACACACCGCCCGUCACGUCACGAAAGU